rnacentral:rRNA from 1 species
GGUGAUGGGGACUCACRGGAGACCGCCGGGGUCAACUCGGAGGAAGGUGGGGACGACGUCAAGUCAUCAUGCCCCUUAUGUCUUGGGCUGCACACGUGCUACAAUGGCCGGUACAAUGAGCUGCGAWACCGYGAGGUGGAGCGAAUCUCAAAAAGCCGGUCUCAGUUCGGAUUGGGGUCUGCAACUCGACCCCAUGAAGUCGGAGUYGCUAGUAAUCGCAGAUCAGCAUUGCUGCGGUGAAUACGUUCCCGGGCCUUGUACACACCGCCCGUCACGUCACGAAAGUCGGUAACACCCGAAGCCGGUGGCC